AUCACACAUGCAUGCUUGGUUCAGAUGCCAUUUUACUCCAAACACAAGACGACGUGAGUUCUGACACGCUGCAGGCAUGAAUGUGAUAACUGCACUGCUGUUUUUUCUCUCAGGUCUUUUUGGGGGUUUCUCUCUUAUUCCUAAGCAGUUCUAUUAUGUAUCUGACUUAAUGACUUGGACAGAUGCUCAGAGCUACUGCAGACAGAAAUACACAGAUCUGGUUUUUGUGUACAGUGAGGAGGAUCUAGACAAAAUGAGGGCUUCUCUUCCUCCUUUAGCCUAUGGUGAUGCAUGGAUAGGAGGAUAUGAACUGAAUUCUGACUCAGAAAACAUUACAGAAAGUGAAAUUGGUGUAGACCUACAUACCAAGACUCAGGACUGUCUGGCAAUGGACACUGAUUCCUGGAAAAAGGUCAAAAAGGACUGCUUGAUAACAUAUUCAUUUUUCUGUAGCCAAAGUGAAGGCAAAACGGUGGUGUUGCAAAUGAAAGUGAAUACUGUUGGACAGCUGGACCUCAAGGACCCUGGAAUAAGAUCAAAGAUGUUAGCUAAGAUCAACGAGAAAUUCAACAAAAUUGGGUUUGGUGAUGCUAUCAAAAUACAGUGGAUCACAAGGCAAGAGACACUGAGGAAAAACAGAGCCAACAACACCUGUCAUUUUGAUACUAAUUAGUUGCUGUUAUUAUUAUUAUUAAUAUUAUUAUUAUUAUGGUAACACUUUACAAUAAGUGUCAUUAGUUAACAUUAUUUAACAACUUUAAUUAACAUAAAUUAAGAAUGAACAAUACUUUUUACAGCAUUUAUAAAUCUAAAUUACUGUUAAAUGAUUAGUUCACUUACAAAUUUUAAAA